ACAAAGGUUUCGGUAGGGGACCCGGGGGAAGGUCCAUUA
rnacentral:rRNA from 1 species